UUUUGAGUUUUGUAAACAUCCUUUGUUAACAGACCCGCAUUUUUGCUUGAUUUUGAUUACUGUGAUAUAAUCAGACGGAUGUCUUCAGGUAAAAGGAGAAACAGAAUCGUGAGUCGCUCACAUUAUCAUUAGAUUUUGGGCCUUAGUGACUAGCACGUCAUGGCACCUCGUCAGGACCAACAGAUUGAGAAAUUAUUAGAUGCAGCACUAAAGCAGAGUAGGUUUCAAGGCCUGGAAGACUUCCUGAAUGACAAAGACAAUGAGACACCUUCAAAAUGCUCAAAACAGUUUAUCACUAAGUUGGACAAAUUUAUGAUCAGGGAACUGGAUCAGAAGCGUGCUAAAAAUGCUUGUCUGGGUCUUACAAUCCUGCAUACAUUUGGAUGCUGCCUUGUCUCCCCUGGAGGUGAAGGGUUGGCAGGGAUGGUGUCUCAAGGGA